AACGAACGCUGGCGGCAUGCCUAACACAUGCAAGUCGAACGAGACCUUCGGGUCUAGUGGCGCACUGUUGCGUACCGCGUGGUAACCUGCCCUUAGGUUCGGAAUAACUCCCCGAAAGGGGUGCUAAUACCGGAUAAUAUCUUCGGACCAAAGAUUUAUAGCGUUUGGAUGGGCCCGCGUUGGUUUAGCUAGUUGGUAGGGUAAAAGCCUACCAAGGCGACGAUCGAUAGCUGGUCUGAGAGGAUGAUCAGCCACACUGGCGCUGAGACACGGUCCAGAAUCCUACGGGAGGCAGGAGUGGGGAAUAUAGGAAAAUGGGGGAAAGGCUGAUCCAGCUAUGGCGCGUGAGUGAUGAAGGCAGUAGGGUUGUAAAGCUCUUUUACACGGGAUGAUAAUGACAGUACCUGGAGAAUAAGCACCGGCUAACUACGUG
rnacentral:rRNA from 1 species